CCAAAAUGACUCUCGGCAACGGAUAUCUCGGCUCUCGCAUCGAUGAAGAACGUAGCGAAAUGCGAUACUUGGUGUGAAUUGCAGAAUCCCGUGAACCAUCGAGUCUUUGAACGCAAGUUGCGCCCGAAGCCAUCAGGCCGAGGGCACGCCUGCCUGGGCGU
rnacentral:rRNA from 4 species